UACUGGCGAAAGGGUGAGUAACAAGUGAGCAAUCUGCCCCUCACUCUGGGAUAAGCGCUGGAAACGGCGUCUAAUACUGGAUACGAGCUGCGACCGCAUGGUCAGUAGUUGGAAAGAAUUUCGGUGGGGGAUGAGCUCGCGGCCUAUCAGCUUGUUGGUGAGGUAAUGGCUCACCAAGGCGUCGACGGGUAGCCGGCCUGAGAGGGUGACCGGCCACACUGGGACUGAGACACGGCCCAGACUCCUACGGGAGGCAGCAGUGGGGAAUAUUGCACAAUGGGCGGAAGCCUGAUGCAGCAACGCCGCGUGAGGGAUGACGGCCUUCGGGUUGUAAACCUCUUUUAGCAGGGAAGAAGCGAAAGUGACGGUACCUGCAGAAAAAGCGCCGGCUAACUACGUGCCAGCAGCCGCGGUAAUACGUAGGGCGCAAGCGUUAUCCGGAAUUAUUGGGCGUAAAGAGCUCGUAGGCGGUUUGUCGCGUCUGCUGUGAAAUCUGGAGGCUCAACCUCCAGCCUGCAGUGGGUACGGGCAGACUAGAGUGCGGUAGGGGAGAUUGGAAUUCCUGGUGUAGCGGUGGAAUGCGCAGAUAUCAGGAGGAACACCGAUGGCGAAGGCAGAUCUCUGGGCCGUAACUGACGCUGAGGAGCGAAAGGGUGGGGAGCAAACAGGCUUAGAUACCCUGGUAGUCCACCCCGUAAACGUUGGGAACUAGUUGUGGGGUCCAUUCCACGGAUUCCGUGACGCAGCUAA
rnacentral:rRNA from 1 species